CUCAUUUGCUUUCUUGAAAGCAAGUCUCUUCUUUUUCUCUGUUUCUCAACAUCUCUGCGGUGAACAUGCACUUGGGUUGGUUUCAUAAGCUGAUCUUCCUGGUUUUACUGGUCUCUGCUGAGGAAAAACAGUUGCCCUUGUCUCAAAAUGAGAGUUCCAUGAGAUCUGUGUCUCAGAAUGAGGGUUCUGGUCUUGCCAAGGCCGUGACAGAACUGAAGCAGAGGAGACAACAAGAACAAAAACAAGAACAGCAGCAGCAGCAGAGUGAAGCACCAGCAGUGCAUUCAUUGGAUCAGUUCUUCGCUGGCAAACGAAGCGUGCCGAACGCUUCAGACCCUCUUCACAACCGUUGAUUUUAGAUCAGAUUAAUAAAUGUUAGUGAUGUUCAUCAACUUCAAGUGUUUGAUAAAUUUAACCUUUGUUGAAAAAAUUAUAUGUAGAAAAAAAGCUCCUACUGUUUUCUCAUGGCUUCUUUAAUCAUGAUAGGUGAAUGCUGAUUAUGCUGUGUAGUGAUAUCUCCUCGAAAAUUGCACCAUUAGCUUAAUUUCAGUUUCUUUUGUGUCUGUUUACUUGAUUUCUCUUUUUAUUAGUACUGUAUUUUGUAAAUUGCACCAACUUUACAGAGAAUAUAUAUACUUUUUGGC
rnacentral:lncRNA from 1 species